GACAAGGAUGAAUACAAGUGUGUCGCCAAUCAACUGAUGAUUAGCUUGGUGCAAACCUGUCUGUGCUGCCUAGUCUCCAUUUUUCUCUCCAGUCCCAUUCUCUCCCGUCCUCUGCAUAUCUGGGGAGACUGACCUACAGCCUGGUGGCCUCCAGUUGGGACUGACCAGUAGAAUCGCCUCCAAGAGACUGGAGUAUGGAAGAGAAGGAGGUUGAGAUAUAUUAGUUCACCUCUUACCCUGUGGUUUGGCAGUCGCUCGUUCUCAACUUUAAAGCCACAACUCGGGUGCCCACUUUGUGCCUCUCACUGGUUCCUACACUCAGUGAAAGAUUGAAAGCAUGAAUGCAGAAAUGGAUGACUCAUCGAAUGCCAGUGUUGCUCAGUCUCUCUUUGAAACACCAAUAUCUGAAGAAACCCAAGCUGGCACUUUGGACUUGGUGGAGUGAUAUCAGCUUUGCCCAGGAGAAAAGCGACUCAAGCCAACCCUUCUGCAAAUCCUGCCAUCCUUGAACUUCUUGGGAUCAUUUCACGAUGGAUGUAAAUCCAGUCAUUAUGCUGUACACCUUAAACUUAUAUAACGCUGUAUGUUGAUUCCAUCUCAAUGAAACUGGAAGAAGAAGAAAAAAGACCAAAGCUAGAGGAGGAAAUAAUGUCAAGCUGAGAUGAGGACCAGACACUAAUAAAUCACCUGAGGAAAAGCAGUCCUUGGAUGUGGACAGCUAUACAUGUUCAAUCAGAUUGCUUUUCUUCUGAAAAAUAACCUCUCAUGUUGAAAAGUCAUCUAUCAUUAUUUCUUGAUAGUAAUAAUCUGAUUUCUUGAUGCUGGGAUUAGUUUUCACAGGUAUUAGAUUUGCCUUGUUACACAAGCUCAAAUUGCACUGUGGUUUGACUUAAUGUGAUAUAAGUAAUUGGUGUGGGCAUCUUCUCUUUUAAGGGUAAACCUUUUAGUUUGUUUGCAUAAAGACAAAUAGCAGUAGUAAACAGAGUUACUAUUUACUUUCUAUUUCAUUUUGUAAAAGUUUUAUUGAAAUAUAGUUUAUUUGCAGUAUUGUGUUAGUUUCCGGUAUAUGGUAAAGUGGUUUAUAUAUAUAUAUAUGUAUGAAAAUGAAAGUGUUAGUUAUUCAGUUGUGUCUGACUCUUUGCGACCCCAUGGACUAUAGCCCACCAGGCUCCUCUGUUCAUAGGAUAUUGUCUAUAUAUAUAUUAUAUAUAUAUAUUUUUUACAUUCUCUUCCUUUAUAGAUUAUUAUAGGAUAUUGAGUAUAGUUCCCUGUGAUAUGCAGUAGGUCCUUGUUGGUCUUCUAAUUUGUAUAUAGUAGUGUGUAUAUGUUAAUCCCAAACUCCUAAUUCAUCCCUCUGCCCCCCAGCCCUUUUAGUAAUCAUAAGUUUGUUUUCUCUGUCUGUGAGUCUGUUUCUGUUUUUCAAGUACGUUCAUUUGUAUCCUUUUUUUUAGAUUCCACGUGUAAG
rnacentral:lncRNA from 1 species